AAGUUAAAACUAGUUUGUUACUAGAGAAGUUUCUCUGAACGUGUAGAGUACUUGAAGCCACGAGGAGGAGAUGCAGUGUCCCUUCCUGAGCGUGAAGUGAUGAUCGUUCUUCUCCUCUUGGAAGAGGAAGAGGGAAGGGACACCGUCUGAGUGGU
ensembl:snoRNA U3 Small nucleolar RNA U3